rnacentral:rRNA from 1 species
GCUUCGGCCUGGUGAAAGUGGCAGACGGGUGAGUAACGCGUGGGAACCUGCCCUGUGGUAGGGAAUAACCGUGGGAAACUGCGGCUAAUACCCUAUGAGUCCUUCGGGAGAAAGAUUUAUCGCCAUAGGAGGGGCCCGCGUCGGAUUAGGUAGUUGGUGGGGUAACGGCCUACCAAGCCUUCGAUCCGUAGCUGGUCUGAGAGGAUGAUCAGCCACACUGGGACUGAGAUACGGCCCAGACUCCUACGGGAGGCAGCAGUGGGGAAUAUUGGACAAUGGGGGCAACCCUGAUCCAGCAAUGCCGCGUGGAUGAUGAAGGCCUUCGGG